GGAAAAAAAGAAAACAAUCAGUGUUUGGGGAAGUUUGCUGCAAUUAUACAGGGAUGCAUGAAGACAGAGGAUGUUGUUUUAGGUGUUGAAAUUCUCCAUCAUGAUUGCCUCAAUGUUAUGAUGGGUAGUAUCCAACUGAUCUUGAUGAACUUAUGUGCUUGCUCAAUGAAAAUUCUCCAGGAUAUUUAAUGCUUUUGGAAAAGAUGAGCAUGACGUCGUGGAGAUGCAUGGAGUCGAUGAUAGAGUACAGAGUGUUCAGAAAGAUUGAACAGAGUUGUAUUUAAUAUUUUUCAACCAGCUUGUUUCUUAGUUUAUUUCACAAUGUGUUGUUCUAACUAAUCUCUUUUAUCUGUCAGUAUUUUCCUCAGAAGUCUUGUGCCAUGAGGUGUUUGAACUAAAAUGUAAUAUUACCAUAUAGUCUCUUUCUUAUUCUGUUUUCUCA